rnacentral:rRNA from 1 species
GACGAACGCUGGCGGCGUGCCUAAUACAUGCAGGUUGAGCGCUGAAGGUUGGUACUUGUACCAACUGGAUGAGCAGCGAACGGGUGAGUAACGCGUGGGGAAUCUGCCUUUGAGCGGGGGACAACAUUUGGAAACGAAUGCUAAUACCGCAUAAAAACUUUAAACACAAGUUUUAAGUUUGAAAGAUGCAAUUGCAUCACUCAAAGAUGAUCCCGCGUUGUAUUAGCUAGUUGGUGAGGUAAAGGCUCACCAAGGCGAUGAUACAUAGCCGACCUGAGAGGGUGAUCGGCCACAUUGGGACUGAGACACGGCCCAAACUCCUACGGGAGGCAGCAGUAGGGAAUCUUCGGCAAUGGACGAAAGUCUGACCGAGAAACGCCGCGUGAGUGAAGAAGGUUUUCGGAUCGUAAAACUCUGUUGGUAGAGAAGAACGUUGGUGAGAGUGGAAAGCUCAUCAAGUGACGGUAACUACCCAGAAAGGGACGGCUAACUACGUG